ensembl:lncRNA
AUGCUCCUUUUAAAUCCUGCUCCUGUGUCCGAGCUGCCAUCCCUCUCCUUGUCCCACUCCAGGGGAAUCUCCAGGAUGCUGCCGGCCAACUGCUGGCCCUCCGUGACCAGACAGCGUUGGACAGUGACGUGGUACGGCCCCACGCACACCUGGCUCCUGCUCCAGGAUGGAGGCAGUUGCAUCCCCAAGGCACCAGUGCACGCAGUCCCUCCGUGUCAGCAAAAGCUGAAGGAAAGACUGAGCCUCUACCCGGCCCCGGAGGAGGAUGGCAGUGCAGGUCAGGCUGUCCCCGCCGAGCCUCCCACUGCAGACAUGGACACGCCACAUGGGGCAAGCUCAGUGCUGGGACUGAAGGGACCAGGGACACAGGCUGUACCGAGGACCAGCAAAGGGACCGGCAGGGGGACUCCACAGACACAGCCUGGCUCCCUGGAGACACAGAGAGCACCAGUGGCCCCUGAGAAGGGGGCAGACACUUCCUCAGAAGAGACAAAGACUUCUGAUGCCUGUGCCAUCACCCUGGGGACACAGACAGAAUCCCCUGGCAUCAAGACCACCACACUGGGGACAGAGUCAGGGGCCCCUGACACCCAGACCUCCACCCCAGGGGUGCAGCCAGGGGCCCCCAGCACCCAAACCACCACCCCAGGGGUGCAGCCAGGGGCCCCCAGCACCCAAACCACCACCCCAGGGGUGCAGCCAGGGGCCCCCAGCACCCAAACCACCACCCCAGGGGUGCAGCCAGGGGCCCCCAGCACCCAAACCACCACCCCAGGGGUGCAGCCAGGGGCCCCCAGCACCCAAACCACCACCCCAGGGGUGCAGCCAGGGGCCCCCAGCACCCAAACCACCACCCCAGGGGUGCAGCCAGGGGCCCCCAGCACCCAAACCACCACCCCAGGGGUGCAGCCAGGGGCCCCCAGCACCCAAACCACCACCCCAGGGGUGCAGCCAGGGGCCCCCAGCACCCAAACCACCACCCCAGGGGUGCAGCCAGGGGCCCCCAGCACCCAAACCACCACCCCAGGGGUGCAGCCAGGGGCCCCCAGCACCCAAACCACCACCCCAGGGGUGCAGCCAGGGGCCCCCAGCACCCAAACCACCACCCCAGGGGUGCAGCCAGGGGCCCCCAGCACCCAAACCACCACCCCAGGGGUGCAGCCAGGGGCCCCCAGCACCCAAACCACCACCCCAGGGGUGCAGCCAGGGGCCCCCAGCACCCAAACCACCACCCCAGGGGUGCAGCCAGGGGCCCCCAGCACCCAAACCACCACCCCAGGGGUGCAGCCAGGGGCCCCCAGCACCCAAACCACCACCCCAGGGGUGCAGCCAGGGGCCCCCAGCACCCAAACCACCAUCCCAGGGGUGCAGCCGACAUCUCCAGGGACCCAAGGAGGAGGAGCAGGGGUUCAGCCAAGCCCCUUCUGCAUGGACUCCAGCCUUUCUGGUGCUGAUAAAAUCCCGGCGGUGGGGACCUUGCCGACAUCCCAGGGGUUAGAGAUCCCCCUUGACGCUGAUCCCAGGGCCAUGUCCCCUUCAGAAGAGCCUCCCAUGCCCUGGGUGUCCUCGGGCUCCAGCAGUGUCCCUGACCGCUAUGCGGAAACGGUGGAGGCUCUCCGCCAGAUCGGGCAGCUCAGCCACCUCUGUGCCACCCUGAAGCAGCAGGUGGCCCAGCUGGAAGCCACCAAGUCGGACCACGCUGAGCUUGAGAAGCUGCGCCUACUCCUCUCGUGGGGAGGUGGGACCACGUGGGGGGAUGGCUGGGGGGGUGUGUGUGUGGGUGGGGUGGGAUAG